GGCUGCCCCCCCUAUUUUCGCCUAUGCCCAUCAGCGUAUAUGUUAAGUUCCAGUUCUUUGCCCCAAUAUGCAUCACUUUACACUUACUAAAAUUGAAUUGCAUUUGCCACUUUGUUGCCUACUCACCCAGUUUAAAGAGAUCCUUUUGGAGUUCCUUGCAGUCUCUUGGAUUUCACUAGCCUAAAUAGUUUGGUGUCAUCUGCUAAUCUGGCUAUGCGCUUGAAAAGCACUGGCCCCAGUACAGAUCCCUGGGGGACCCCACUUUUUACUUCCCUCCAUUGUGAAAACUCUCCAUUUAUUCCUACCCUCUGUUUCCUGUCCUUCAACCAGUUACCAAUCGACAUAUGAACCUGCCCUCUUAUCCUAUGACUGCUAAAUUUUCUCAAGUCUAUGAGGAACUUUGUUGAAAGCUUUUUGGAAAUCCAGGUAUACUAUGUCAACUGGAUCAUCUUUAUCCACACACUUGUUGACACUUUUAAAGAACUCCAAAAGGUGAAUGGUGCUCUCGGACCUCCCUUAUUGCGUGAUGAAAUACUGUAUAUGGCUAAAGCCUUGAAAAGGAGACUGCUGCUGUCGUGUGUGUUUUAUGUUAACAGGUUCUGUAGUCUGUAAUUGUAAACCACUGUAAGUAGAGUAGGAAGAAACAGGAGAACAGUGUUUUCACAGCACCUAGUAAAGGUAGCUAAAUUCUUCUUUCAAGGCUGAACUGCUCAUAGAAAUAAACGCCCAAGUUUUAAUGCUGUGGGGAAGAGGACAGUCACCUUUUAUAAGAAGCCUUUACCUACCUAGUCAGCUUGUCAUCAGUCACCCUCACAAUACAACUCUGGAAGCCAACUUCAUCAGCUGAUAAUCUCCAUGGGGAAAGGCAGCUUCCAUUCUGAAGGAGCAGGGCCCUGAGUGAACCACAUCUGCAUCCUAAAACGUGCUCCAGCAUCCUUUGCAAUGCACUUCGUUUCUCUGGCAGAGAUGCAGGAAUUCUUUCUCCGAUAAGUCAGUGUGGAAAGUGUUCCUUGAAGGAAGUUAGCAAGCCACUGUGACAUGCAGGGUGGUUCUUUGGGCCCAAUCUGAUCCUUCUAAGCUUUGCAAGAAGCACAAGGAGAGAAGAGGAGGCUGCUGGCAACCUUCCCUCCUCCCCACCCCUGUGCCAUUUUCAAAACUUGUGAUGUUCAGUUUUGGAAAAGGGCUGGCCCCCAGCAGAGGUGUGGAGCUAGGCAGCCUUUGGCACCUUGCCUCAGGUGUCACUGUACCUUGCCCCCCCCCGUGAUAUAUCAUUGCAUGUCAGCUAUUAAUACUAUCAAAUGCUAACAACCAUUUCAUGUCAGCUAUCAGACCUUGCUGAAUAGCAAACACAACUACAAGUUCUGUGGUACUGCUUUUCAGCUGAAACUCAAUGUCUAUAGUAAAAGGUGACGUGUGCCGUCGAGUCAGUGUCGACUCCUGGUGCCCAGAGAGCCCUGUGGUUGUCUCUGGUAGAAUACAGGAGGGGUUUACCAUUGCCAUCUCCCACGCAGUAUGAGAUGAUGCUUUUCAGCACCUUAACCUUUAGGUGUUUCUCAUAGUCUUGGAAACAUACCAGCGGGGAUUCGAACUGGCAAUCUCUGGCUUGUUAGUCAAGUCAUUUCCCCGCUGCGCCAUUAGGUGGCUCAAUGUCUAUAGUAGCUCCCAAUGAAAUGUCAGUAAAAAACCAACUGCAAAUAAAAUAACAGCAGGGGCAGACAGCAAAAUACUAAUAAAACACCAGAUAGCAGCAAACAAGAGUCUAAACAUAAAUUCCAAAAUGAUAAAAUCAACAUCACUGUUGAUUACAACCACAGACAGGAAAAUAAGUCAACCUGAUGCCUAAACCAAAACAGAGGAGGUGGCAGGUGUGCCUCUCAGGAGUGGGUUUUCCAUUUACAGAGCACCCCCCCACCCAGUACUGAAAAGGCCCUCUCCCUAUUGCUGCUGAUGGUUGAAAGGAAGAUAAUAUAUGUGAAGUCCUUUGAAAGCUCAAAAGCACUCUUAGAAAUGCUAAGUGUUGUUAUUAAAUUGCUUGAAUGCU